rnacentral:lncRNA from 1 species
CCUCCCGGGUUCAAGUGAUUCUCCUGCCUCAGCCUCCUGAGUAGCUGGGACUACAGAUAACUGAUACCGUGCUUCCAGAAGAUUUUUCUAACAGUGUUUGCAAGCUAUAAAAUAGUGCUUUCACUUAGAAAAGGCUAGACGUGGUGGUUCAUGCCUGUAAUCCCAGCACUUUGAGAGGCCGAGGCACCAUGCUGGGAGAUAAGGAUCCAACAUAAGACAAACAGUGCUGAUGCUUUUGGAAAGCUCAUAUUCAAGCUGGGGAGACAAACAACAUACAAGAGGGCUCUGAGAGAUUUCAUUUCUGUCCUGCUGAUGAAGUCUACGUUCAUUCAGGGCCUGCUGUGGAAGACCAGCCCCAAAGUUGCUGAACAGAAGACUUUUGAGAGUCAGCAGAAAUCUUCCACUUUGCAUGGUUCUCUUGAUGUGAAAUCAUCUAUAUAGCCCCAGAAUUGGAAAAGAAAAAAAAUAAAAAAAUGGAAGGAAACUGGA